CCCCUAGAUGUUCUGGGCCGCACGCGCGCUACACUGAACAGUUCAACAAGUCUUAACCUUGGCCGAUAGGUCUGGGUAAUCUUUGAACGCUGUUCGUGAUUGGGAUAGACCUUUGCAAUUAUGGGUCUUCAACGAGGAAUUCCUAGUAAACGCAAGUCAUCAGCAUGCAUUGAUUACGUCCCUGCCCUUUGUACACACCGCCCGUCGCACCUACCGAUUGAAUGGUCCGGUGAAAUCUCGGGACGGCGGCUUGGUCGCUUGCGUCCGACUGCUGAAACUUGAUUAAACCAUAUCAUUUAGAGGAAGGUGAAGUCGUANCA
rnacentral:rRNA from 1 species